rnacentral:rRNA from 1 species
UACAGAGGGUGCAAGCGUUAAUCGGAGUUACUGGGCGUAAAGGGCGCGUAGGUGGUUUUAUAAGUUGGAUGUGAAAGGCCUGGGCUUAACCUAGGAAUUGCAUACGAGACUGUAGGACUAGAGUACUGUAGAGGGUAGUGGAAUUUCCGGUGUGAGCGGUAGAAAUGCGUAGAGAUCGGAAGGAACACCAGUGGCGAAGGCGGCUACCUGGACAGAUACUGACACCGAGGCGCGAGAGCGUGGGGAGCAAACAGG